UGCAACUCUCAUGUGAGAAUUUUGGCAAAAUCUCCCCUUCCCGCUCACAGGAGCUCGCAUUCCCCCUCGCAUCAGCUGGAACCACCUUUGCCAAAAUUCCUCUUCUCCUCUGCUUCCACCCCCUUCCCGCUCGCAUCUCCCCGUUCGGAACCAGCCCAACCAGCCACCGACUUGAUUAUUUCAAAAAUCUCAAACCCAGCCCAACAAGCCACCCUUCGGAACCAGAAAGAGUCGCCGCCGUUAGUGCCUUGCCGUUGGAGUAUUGUGGCUCCAAUAUCUAGAGUUGAGAAGCUUGUUAGAUUUCUGUGGAUGAUGUGCUGAGGGAGACGAGCGGUUGUUAGUAGCGGAGUAUAUGCCUAAUGAUACUCUCUCCAAGCAUCUCUUUCACUGGGAGAAACAGCCACUGCCAUGGGAGAUGCGUGUGAGAGUUGCAUACUACAUUGCACAAGCACUUGAUCAUUGCAACACGAAAAACCGAAAAAUAUAUCAUGACUUGAAUGCAUACAGAGUCCUCUUUGACGAGGUAGUGUAUACACAUUUAAACACAAUCUGCAUCUUUACAAGACAAUCAACUUGUGUGCACUUCAUUUUUACAUUUGAUUUAACAAGAAAGUGCAGAUGGGGCAAGCUAUA